rnacentral:rRNA from 1 species
GACGUGGGGGGCCAGCGUUGCUCGGAAUUACUGGGUGUAAAGGGUUCGUAGGCGGUGUGGCAAGUCGGGAGUGAAAUCUCUGGGCUUAACCCAGAGACUGCUUCCGAAACUGCUGUGCUUGAGUGUGGGAGAGGCGCGUGGAAUUGCAGGUGUAGCGGUGGAAUGCGUAGAUAUCUGCAGGAACACCCGUGGCGAAAGCGGCGCGCUGGACCACUACUGACGCUGAGGAACGAAAGCUAGGGGAGCAAACAGG